GAUGAAGAACGUAGCGAAAUGCGAUAAGUAAUGUGAAUUGCAGAAUUCAGUGAAUCAUCGAAUCUUUGAACGCACAUUGCGCCCGCCAGUAUUCUGGCGGGCAUGCCUGUUCGAGCGUCAUUUCAACCAUCAAGCCUUAGGCUUGUGUUGGAGCUCUGCGACUGUCCGCAGGCCCCUAAAUGCAGUGGCGGGCUCGCUAUCACACCGAGUGCAGUAGUUUUCUUUCUCGCUCAGGGCGUGUAGUGGGUGCUAGCCGUAAAACCCCCUUUUCUCACAAGGUUGACCUCGGAUCAGGUAGGAAUAGCCGCUGAACUUAAGCAUAUCAAUAAGCGGAGGA
rnacentral:misc_RNA from 1 species